rnacentral:rRNA from 1 species
UUGGAGGGCAAGUCUGGUGCCAGCAGCCGCGGUAAUUCCAGCUCCAAUAGCGUAUAUUAAAGUUGUUGCAGUUAAAAAGCUCGUAGUUGAAUUUCGGGACUAGUACGUUGGUCGUGCCUUAGGUACGUACUGGUGUUACUGGUUCCUACCUUCUGACGAACCAUUAUGUCAUUAAUUUGGUGUGGUGGGGAAUCAGGACUGUUACUUUGAAAAAAUUGAGUGUUUAAAAGCAGGCCCGCGCUUGAAUACAUUAGCAUGGAAUAAUGAAAUAGGACGUUGA